rnacentral:rRNA from 1 species
GACGAACGCUGGCGGCGUGCCUAAUACAUGCAAGUUGAGCGAUGAAGAUUGGUGCUUGCACCAAUUUGAAGAGCAGCGAACGGGUGAGUAACGCGUGGGGAAUCUGCCUUUGAGCGGGGGACAACAUUUGGAAACGAAUGCUAAUACCGCAUAACAACUUUAAACAUAAGUUUUAAGUUUGAAAGAUGCAAUUGCAUCACUCAAAGAUGAUCCCGCGUUGUAUUAGCUAGUUGGUGAGGUAAAGGCUCACCAAGGCGAUGAUACAUAGCCGACCUGAGAGGGUGAUCGGCCACAUUGGGACUGAGACACGGCCCAAACUCCUACGGGAGGCAGCAGUAGGGAAUCUUCGGCAAUGGACGAAAGUCUGACCGAGCAACGCCGCGUGAGUGAAGAAGGUUUUCGGAUCGUAAAACUCUGUUGAUAGAGAAGAACGUUGGUGAGAGUGGAAAGCUCAUCAAGUGACGGUAACUACCCAGAAAGGGACGGCUAACUACGUG